AGAAACUCUCAGAAACUCUCAAACCUGCUCAUCCUCCCUUUCACGUGAAGCAGUAACUAAAUCUCCUCCUUGCUGCGCCGCCACCUUCGUCGGCCAACCAUCACUCGACCGCUGACGCUGGCCUCUUCAGCCCUCCGCAACCACCGCCAGCUUGUCGCCACCACCACCAGCCGGCAUGUCACCGGUUUCUCGCACUCACCGCCGCCGCAGCCAUCGCCCAACCGCCUUCCUCGCUGCAACCGCACACCCACCGGCCUCCGCGACCACCGUGCUUGCUGCCGCGUAUUCCGACGCCGGCUAGCCUCCCUUGUCUCCACUUUGGCGGAGAAUUCUAUUUAGGCGACUUUUGAAUUCGUUAAAGUGGCCUAUCAGUUUGUUUACACAAGUCUCUAAGGAUCAAUAAGCAUUGUCCAUCUGCAGGUUUGAAGAUGUUGCAUCAUUGGGAUCGGGAAUAGAGAGCUUGUAUUUAGUUUUGAUUUGCUAAGUUAACUUGGGUUUGUUAAUUGGGACUUUAAACUUGUCGUACUAUUUAUAUUUCCUUAUUUUCGUUGGAUGAUUUUUGGGGACUAAAUCUGUAAUCGAUUAUUUAUAAACCUAAAGUUAGUUUUAUGUUUUCCGCUGCAAAAUUCUGAAUAAGCCGUUACGUUUUCACACGGGCGAUAAUGCCUUGAUAAUUCUCUACGUUUUAUAUUAAAAGAUUAUUUUAGAAAAGAGAGAAUUGUCGGGGUGUUACAAUCUCAAUUAAAAUAAUAAUAUUAUUAUAAAAGUCUAGUCCAGUCUAACCUAGUCUAGUCCAGUCUAACCUAGUCUAGUCAAGUGUGGUUGUCAAAUUAACAAGUUUUGUCUGCCCUUAUUUAUGUUUUAUUAGUAUCAUGUUAGGAUUGAUCGUUUAAUAGAAUCAUAUUAGGAUUAUUAUUGAUUUAGUAUGUAGUACUCAGCUUUGCUGAUUACGUGCUUUGUUUGUGUGUGUUGAUCAUGGCUAUGCCUUAUUGAUCCUGUGAUGACCCAUUUUGGUGAGCUGUCUCUAAGGAUCAAUAAGCGUUGCCAUCUACAGGUUUGAAGAUGAUGCAUCAUUGGGAUCGGGAUGAGAGAGCUUGUAUUUAGUUUUGUUUGCUAAGUGACUUGGUUUAUUAAUUUGGACUUGAAACUUGUCGUACUAUUUAUAUUUCCUUAUUUUCGUUGAUUGGUUUUUGGAUUUAGUAUGUAAUCGAUUAUUUAUGAACCUAAAAGUUAGUUUUAUGUUUUCCGCU